GAGCGCGUAGCUCAGCCGGUAGAGCAUCUGACUUUUAAUCAGGGGGUCCUGGGUUCGAGUCCCAGCGCGCUCACCA
rnacentral:tRNA from 1 species